rnacentral:rRNA from 1 species
GAUGAACGCUGGCGGCGUGCCUAAUACAUGCAAGACGAGCGAACGGACGAGAAGCUUGCUUCUCUGAUGUUAGCGGCGGACGGGUGAGUAACACGUGGAUAACCUACCUAUAAGACUGGGAUAACUUCGGGAAACCGGAGCUAAUACCGGAUGAUAUUUUGAACCGCAUGGUUCAAAAGUGAAAGACGGUCUUGCUGUCACUUAUAGAUGGAUCCGCGCUGUAUUAGCUAGUUGGUAAGGUAACGGCUUACCAAGGCAACGAUGCAUAGCCGACCUGAGAGGGUGAUCGGCCACACUGGAACUGAGACACGGUCCAGACUCCUACGGGAGGCAGCAGUAGGGAAUCUUCCGCAAUGGGCGAAAGCCUGACGGAGCAACGCCGCGUGAGUGAUGAAGGUCUUCGGAUCAUAAAACUCUGUUAUUAGGGAAGAACAUAUGUGUAAGUAACUGUGCACAUCUUGACGGUACCUAAUCAGAAAGCCACGGCUAACUACGUG